GUGGAGAGGAUAAGGAGGGCCUCGCUUGGCUUCCUGCUGCUCCCCUGAUUAGAAGCCCUUCUAAGGGGAUCAAGGCUGUGACUGGCUAUGAGAAGAGAAAACUAAUGCUCCAUUUCCCACUCAGUCCCUGGGCUGCUGAACUCUUCCCCACCACUUGAGGAGGAGCUACGCUGGGAAGAGAUGAGCUGAUGCCCAGCUCAGCUGCUCUUCUGAGUCUUCAAUUUCCAGACCAACCUCCCUUAAGGUGACUGACAGUGGGGACCUCAACCUCACCUACAGGGAUGUGGACUGAUCCCAUGGUCUCAGUGAGAGACCCAGGCAAUAUUUCUACAUGAAGCAUGUUGGAUUUCUGAAUUAUCCAGCCUCAAAUGACACCGGGAUGGGACAGUGUUAACCCAGAUAAGAAAACUGAGGCUCUGAGAAGUUGAGGGACUUGGUCAAGGCCACAUGUCAGUGAGUGCCAGAAGUUUCUGCUACUCCUACAAAAUCAGAAGUUCCCCAAAUCCAAACCAUCUCGACCUACCCCUGUGACCCGCCAAAAGAAGCUGGCCUUCCCCAUCCUCCUGUCUCCGCAGUGCCAUUUGCCUUUCAGUCUCCUAAAAAGAAGCACUUACUCUCUUCCCCAAAUCGCAGAGGGAAGCUUCAAAUACACUUCUAAUCAUCCUCAGUACCCAGCAGUAUAUAGGAAGUUAUUGUCCCAAAGUUGUGUGUCAUGCCCGAAGUGUCUGGGAUCCCCGAGUGCCUGUGGUGCCCAAGAGCUAUGAAUCUGCUAUCAUCAACACAGAGGGUACCUUCUGAAUGGGCUAUGUCUACAGUGAUGCUGCAAAUGGAAGCUAACCCUAGGAUGACUGGCCUCUGACACUUGAGCCAUCCCAUCAUCUGUCAUGGGUUGACCCAUCCAUCCCCUCAAUGAGCCUGACCUUCAGGACCACUGACAGAGGAGCAGUCAAUAGAAAUUAAUUGUUAAAUACCCAGAAAAUCUGAAAUGGUAUUUAAUAUGCAGUUCAUCAAGAGCAAAAGUUCCUUAAAUCUUCAUCUAGAAAAGUUAUUUAUAAGGGAUGAAUAUGUUGUAUGAAUAUGUUGUAUGCAAAUAUUAUAUUCAAGGGCA
rnacentral:lncRNA from 10 species